GUGGGGAAUAUUGGACAAUGGGCGCAAGCCUGAUCCAGCCAUGCCGCGUGAGUGAUGAAGGCCUUAGGGUUGUAAAGCUCUUUCAGUGGGGACGAUAAUGACGGUACCCACAGAAGAAGCCCCGGCUAACUUCGUGCCAGCAGCCGCGGUAAUACGAAGGGGGCUAGCGUUGUUCGGAUUUACUGGGCGUAAAGCGCACGUAGGCGGAUCGUUAAGUCGGGGGUGAAAUCCUGGAGCUCAACUCCAGAACUGCCUUCGAUACUGGCGAUCUUGAGUCCGGAAAAGGUGAGUGGAACUCCUAGUGUAGAGGUGGAAUUCGUAGAUAUUAGGAAGAACACCAGUGGCGAAGGCGGCUCACUGGUCCGGUACUGACGCUGAGGUGCGAAAGCGUGGGGAGCAAACAGGAUUAGAAACCCGUGUAGUCC
rnacentral:rRNA from 1 species